CGAGAACGCAAAACUCGAAGCUCGGCGUAAUGCGCGCGACUGCGUUGUACGCGUCACGGUUUUAGAUUCCGAGUGGAGCGGAUAGGAGAUCAUGUGGUUUUACGAUGAUAUUUUUGUUUUGCCGACGACUGUUCCACCGGCAAUAUUUCGCUCCGAUUUUCGAUAACGGGCACUUUUUCUGAAUGAAAAUCUUACCGGUGUAGUACACUUUAGGCAGCUUCGGGUGGGACAUUUUUCGAUUUUCCCAGGAGCUCUCCCGAUAAACGGGAAACAUAAGGGAAAACCCGGAGAACGGGAAAAUAGGUACAAUGUUAAACGAAUAUUAUUAAAGAAAAUGUUAAAUGCAUAAUGUGCAAUUAUUUUACCGACAUACGGCAUAGCCGACCACUCUAUCGACCGAAUCGCCCUCAGAAUCGUUUUUUCGUUAGUAAUGGUUAAUCGCUACUUGCAGACGUACAUUAAAUUCCCGUUUGUAUACU